AAUAAUGGAGCUAAUCUGGAAAGAGAUUGGCCCAUAUAUUUUUUGAAAGAGUGAAAACGCUUCAUAGAAGAAGGUAUCAAAAAGAUUCGUUGGUGCAAUCAUUCAAAGUCCGAUUGAAUGAACUGGCGGGCAAUAAUCUUGACCUAAAACUUCCACUCCAACUCAACAUUGUGGGACAUCCACUACCACCUAGGGGACGACGAUCGAAAAAAAUAAAACAUAGUUUAAAAGAAGCUUUAAAUAAUAUUUUCGUAAUUGUACAGAAUCCAGGAGACAUAGAAAAAACUAUGAAAAAUCAAAUUGAUAGGGCGUAUGCCAAAAAUGAUACUGUCCAGCCGUACAUCAUUAUUCAAGGCAGUUAUGAAGAACAAAAUCAAAUUUUAUUAAUCCGUGAUGAUAUAAAAUAUCAAUUUACGUCAGCAGUCAAAGCUUUUGAUUGCUUAUUCAAGUUAUUUCACGUAUUAAAUGUAUCUUAUCCUUAAGAU